GACUUCACAUGCAUGCACGCUUGUAAUUAAUCACCUUAUUGGUUUUUUAUCCUCUGAAGUUUUCUAAGUAAUAGAUAGAAUAGGGUAGGCAGAUGGUACCUCGUGAUAAAGGUGGGACUAUCCAGGAGUGGAUGCCAGAAACCAAAUCUCAAUAAUAAGAAUUCCAUACCCUGAAUUAUCAUAAAAAGUAAUAGAUAAAAUGCCUUAAACAGAAAAAUGUUAGCAAAAUUUCAUUUAAAAUGGUGCAUUUGAGAAGGAAGUAUAUGCAAUGUGAUACAAAUAUGAGAGAGGCGUUUCAAGGUAUCAUGGGUGCAAAAAUUUUUAUGAUGAUAUGUUUGUUUGUGUCUGUACUCUGUAUCACAUGAGCUUGUGUGUAGCCCUUUCCCUGCAUUAGGCCAAUUGGUUGUAGAGUUGUACAUUCCUUCAGUACAACCAACAAAGUAUUGUAGGACGCUGACAGAUAAAGUGAAAGAAAAUGCAAGAAAAUGCAAUCUUUCUUUUUGAUGGUCUCUUCAUGGAGCAUGUUUGUAUUUUAAGGAGAAGAUAGAUGGUAGUAGAACUUAGAUUUAAUGAGACAAGAAGCUUCAUCUUGACUAACACCUUUCAUUGCAACAAUAAGUUGCACUGCAAUUCAAAGCUUCUUUUCUUUUAUAUAUU
rnacentral:misc_RNA from 1 species